ACCUCUGGCCAGAAAGAUAAAUGUUUCUUGGAGUUUGCUGUGUGUUACAUAAUUUCUCAAUUUGGUCUACUGUUGUGUCAAAGCUGAGAGAUAAAGAUGGAGAAAAAAAUACAAGGGACUCUUAACUGCCAUAUUGUUAUUCAGUGUUUUGCCUUCCUGCCCCAAUCUACCUGCUAUUAAUCAUCGAUCACUUUUCAGAAGUCUCAGUACCACAAGGAGUUCUGGACACAGAAUUGAUGUCUCCUCAGCAUCGGAUGAAUCUGCAGACAGAAUGCACUUGGCUCUCCAGAAUUCCAGCUGGGAAAGAGGUCCUGAAUGAUUCAUUGUUAUCAAUUAAAUUUACUAUAGCA